rnacentral:misc_RNA from 1 species
GGGCAAAAAACAAAGCCUGCCAGGUAUUUCUCUCUCUUUCUGUUGGUCCUCCACAAUUUUGCGUGGUAUUUAGUGAGUGAAUUCUUAAAUUCUUCUCACGCACAAAUAUGCUUAGUCCUUUCAAUAGUUAUGUCUGAAUCUAAGCUUAGGUACAAGCUUUAACCAGGUCAUCUCGAUUAUUGCAGACUCAAAUAAGUUCAGUUUAAAAAUUUUUAGAGUA